AGAAGGCUGAGUGAGGAGACCCUGCCAGCUGCCACAAGGAGAAGCAUGAUGUAAGAUACUGUGUUUGAAGCAAUCCUGUUUGUCUGGAGACCUAUACUUGCUUUUGUUGUUGAUGCCUCAGGGUUUACAUCAAACAAAACAAAACAAAAAGCAAAGAAAACUUGUCAGAACCAAAGUCAAGAGGUGUUUCCCUUUGUUCUAAGAAAGAUCAUUCCCGAAUGAAAUUUCUUAACAUGCUUUGAAGAUGGACUUCCUCUAAAAUGUGGACUUUCAAGACCAAACAUUCCAAGGCCAAGUGGCUUCUGGGGACAUCUAAUUUUCCAGGCAGACUGUGGAUCAGGCAUCCUUGCAUUUGGAUAGAUGGUUUCCCAGGGGGCCUUGAACAGAUUGGGCCCAGCACUGGCACAGAGAAAGGCUGGAGAAUCAUCUCCUGGAAGCCUCAAUUAGUGUUUGGUGUAUGAACAUUAAACAAUGCUGAACGUGGAAACAAUACAUCACCCGGCAGGUCCUAGAACAUAAACAGAAGGCUGGCCACAGGCCAGGGCCCAGGGCCAAAUCCCUUGUCAAGGACAGCUCUUCUUGGAGAAAUGACAGCAGGUUUGAGGGCAGCAGGUUCACCCUUAAGAGAUAUCAAGUUUGGCCAGCACAAUCUGUUGAAGAUGCUGUCUUUUCCAGUGUAUAUUUUUGGCUUCUUUCUAAAAAAUCAGAUGUCUGUAGGCCAAGCUCGAGGAGUCCAGUCGAAGAUAUGAAAGAGGGAUUCUAUGAGCAAGGGGCAUCAAGAUCAUGAUGAGAAAAUCUACAGAGACACUGAACCAAGCUCUUGGGAACUUAGGAACUCUAGACCGACAGCUGUGGAGCCCACAUGGGACUGGCCUAGGCCCUCUACAUAAGUGAGGAAGUUGUGUAGCUUUGUUUGUUUUAGGGGCCCCUGGCAGCGGGAUCAGGAUUUAUCCCUGUGCAUGAGCUGGCGUUUUGGAGCCUGUUACCUAUGGUGGGACACCUUGAAAAGCCUUGAUGCAGAGAAGAAGGGUCUUGGACCUGACUCAACUGAAUGUGCCAGGCUUUGCUGACUUCCUGUGGGAGACCUUACCUUUUCAG